GACGAACGCUGGCGGCGUGCCUAAUACAUGCAAGUCGAGCGGACGGAUGGGAGCUUGCUCCCAGACCGUCAGCGGCGGACGGGUGAGUAACACGUGGGCAACCUGCCUGUAAGACUGGGAUAACUCCGGGAAACCGGGGCUAAUACCGGAUAACUCUUUCCCUCACAUGAGGGAAAGCUGAAAGAUGGCAUCUCGCUAUCACUUACAGAUGGGCCCGCGGCGCAUUAGCUAGUCGGUGAGGUAACGGCUCACCAAGGCGACGAUGCGUAGCCGACCUGAGAGGGUGAUCGGCCACACUGGGACUGAGACACGGCCCAGACUCCUACGGGAGGCAGCAGUAGGGAAUCUUCCGCAUUGGACGAAAGUCUGACGGAGCAACGCCGCGUGAGUGAUGAAGGUUUUCGGAUCGUAAAACUCUGUUGUCAGGGAAGAACAAGUACCGGAGUAACUGCCGGUACCUUGACGGUACCUGACCAGAAAGCCACGGCUAACUACGUG
rnacentral:rRNA from 1 species